CACCCUACACAUUCUCCAAGUAAAUAGGCGUAGCCACUCAGCUAAGCAUAUGGUACCUGCUUUUAUUAUUGAUACAAAGUCAGAUUUGCUUGUCUACUCUAUAUAAUUGAUACUCUAUAUAAUUGAUGCAUUGUUUUGGUUUAUAAUGCACUUCUUGGUCAGGCUUCCAGAUCAUCCAUUUGUCGCUGGUGAACCCUCCAUAUGGAGAUUUUGGCAUCCACUGUAUGCAUGCCAUACUACUGUACACCACCAAUCACAAGACGCGAGUGUAGGUUCCAUUCAUUGUGCACUCAUCUCAGUGAUGGCCCACUGCAAUACACCACGGUGAUUGAUCGCAUGCACCAACAUAGAUGUGCACUAUGUAAUAAUUUUUCCUCCACAUGCCUUCGCUCUGAACCUUUUGACAGUCUUAUUUCCACUCACUUAUAAUCUCCCAUUGAAGCUAGGUUUAUAGAUCGGAAUCUCUGAUCUGCAUGUCCUCAUUAUGUGUCCUCUUCCAUUACUGCACUCCUACUAGAUAUAUCUAAUGAUGGCGCCCAUGCUAAAGGAGUUGAAAGAUGAGCAUCUGCCGGCUUGCACUUCUUUAAAAUGACGCAUUGGGUUAAUAGGAUGUCAUGAGUAUAGUUUUUGCAGUCAGAUGGUUUGUCCAAGCUUUAGCAAUAUCAGUAAUCUAACAUGCAUGCGUUGAUGAAUGAGUACAAGCUACAAAGAACACUGAUCCAAACCAAGAACCUGAAGUAGAUGCCACUAGUGUUUAUCAAUAGCUAGCCCAAUUCUAAGAGUAUCCCUACAACUAAAUAGAUGGAAAUUCCAGCAUUAUCACAAGAAUGGAGGUAGAAUAUUUUGAUUAAAAUGAGGCAUGUAAAAACACC
rnacentral:lncRNA from 1 species